CUAUUCUCACCCAUGCCGAUGCUUCACUUUGUGCCGGCACAAAACCGUGAGCCUCCCACGGAGGACAGCUACAAGUGCCCCACCUACAAGAUCUUGACUAGGCAGGGCACCCUUUCCACAACUGGCC
rnacentral:ribozyme from 1 species